GUAGAUGCCUAAUCACCUAACAUCCAUCAGUAGAUGUCUAGUCAUCAUCCUUUUUCAUAGCAGCAUCCAUCAGUAAAUGCUCUCUCAAACUCUUCCAGCAUCCAUCAGUAGAUGCGAAUCUUCUCAUCAACAUCCUUCAGUAGAUGUUAUUCUUUCUCUUUUUCAUCAGCAUCCAUCAGUAGAUGUUGUCAGUACUACCAUCAGAAGCAGUGCAUAACCUAAAAGAACUUAAACACAAAAUCAAAUCCAAACCACACACAAAAAUAUAAAAAUAAAAUAAAACAAAACAAGAUAAAAUAAAAUAAAAUAAAAUAAAGUGAAAUAAAAUAAAAUAAAAUAAGAUCAAAUAAGAUCAAAUAAAAUAAAAUAAAAUCAAAUCAAAUGAAAUAAAAUAAAAUAAAAUAAAAUAAAAUAAAAUUAAAUAAAAAAAUAAAAAAAUUCAAGAACUGGGUUCAAGAUAUUUUUUCUUUUUGUUAAAUUUUUUCAGGAACUUAAUAUAACCAUGAACCUAUUGUAGUGUCCCAAUCAUAGGAAUUUUAAUCUCCAAUUUCUUGAAGAUUUCCAUGAAACGCUAAAACUAUUUUUCCUUUUUCUUCCUAUGAUCCUUCUUUGGGUGAGGAGGGGGUUUUUCAUAUGAUUCUUUCUUUUAGCUUUCCUCCUUCCCCUCUCUUUUUCUCCUUAGGACACUCCUGAGGACACAAAGGAGUUUUCUCAAUUCUUUUCUUUUCUCUCUCAAUUUCUUUCUUUUCUACCUCUUUCUCUUUCUCACUCAAACUUUCUUUUUCUUCUCUCUCUACUUUUAUCUCUUCCUCUUUCUCUUCUUCUUCUUGCUCCUCAUCGCUCAAACCCUCUUCUUCUUUUCUCUCUAUUUCAUCCUCUCUCUUUUUUCUUUCUCUCUUUCCUCAUUUGGAACCUUGUCAUUUUCAAUGACAACAGCUUUGCAUUCCUUUCCAGGCCUUUCGUUGUUUGUGAUCUCAUUCAUCAUCUGACUUAAAACCAUGCACUGAGCCUCUAUAUUUUGUGAUGAGGCCUGAAUGUUUUUCCGAAAUGAGAGAGAUUCUUGCAAGAACUCCUGGAGGGCCUCCUCAAGCUUUGUAGUGCUAUCAGCUUGUGGUGGACUAGUGAAUAAUCCUCCACCUUGCCCAUAUUGACUUUGAUUUGUGCUUGGGUAGGGUUCCCACCAGUAUUUGAAAUUAUCCUAGUAAAAUUGCAUCUUGUUUGAGCAUAUUGUG
rnacentral:lncRNA from 1 species